UCUGGUGACUAUAGCAAGGAGGUCACACCUGUUCCCAUGCCGAACACAGAAGUUAAGCUCUUAGCGUCGAUGGUAGUCGAACUUACGUUCCGCUAGAGUAGAACGUUGCCAGGC
rnacentral:rRNA from 1 species